AGGAUUACCAGCCACUGCCUACAGAUGAGCCACUGUCCACAGAGGAACCUGAUGGGAACACUUACCAAGUGGAUAAAGAUGGUGAAAGCCAGCUACCUUCUCAUUGACAACACCCCUAGACAGCAGAAACUUGACUGGAUCUGGGAUCAACUCAACAGCAAGCCUCUGUGCACACCAGUGAGAGACUUCCUUGAGCAGAUUAUGUGACGGAGAUGACCCACCCCAAAUGGAGCAGUACUUUCUAUUGGCAAUUCAAAUAAAAGGACUUGAAAGAAG